rnacentral:rRNA from 1 species
GUAGUCUGCAACUCGACUACAUGAAGCUGGAAUCGCUAGUAAUCGCGAAUCAGAAUGUCGCGGUGAAUACGUUCCCGGGUCUUGUACACACCGCCCGUCACACCAUGGGAGUCAGUAACGCCCGAAGUCAGUGACCCAACCGAUCUGGGAGGGAGCUGCCGAAGGUGGGACCGAUAACUGGGGUGAAGUCGUAACAAGGUAGC